GUUUCCAUAAUUAAAUUAUUAAAGGAGAUAUUAACCUUGACGAAAACUUUCUCUCUUCUCUCUCAAAAACUUUUGAGAGAGAGAGUUUGUUUUUUUGGUAAAGUCCGAUCGUGAUCUCAUAUGCAUGUUCUAUCCUCGCCGUCCGGUUUAUCCGGCUCCUGUCCAGCAUCGACUAGCUUCUAAAGUAGUGUUGGCUGGCUUAUGUCUGGCGAUUUGCCGUCUUGUUUACGGUGUCUUCGGCCAGUUUUGGGUUUGUUAAGUUUUUUUGUUUCAAUAAUCUCAUUAGAUCUGAGUUGGUGAUGAUGUUUUAGGUGUUGUGUCACUUAAAGAAUGGAUUUCUCCGACUUGUUUCUUUUGAGCUUUUGGUUUGCAGAAAUCUUUCCAGAGACAUAAGGAAAGAAGAAUCUUUCGAAGCAUAUUAUGAUUGCCUUAAAGCUGUUAGUUUCUUUUUGGAGUUUCGAUUAGCUUAGCAACGGUGACAAACAAAGGAUUCAACGACCGAUUAUAUUUCGGCGAUAAUCUUCUCACCGAAAUCGAUGCUCAACGGCGAAGGUUGAUGUCGGAAAUCUUUCGAUUACUCAUCCAGCAUGUGUCGUGGUUGUAUCCAGUUGCUGACACGUGGGCUUAGGUGGAGUACAAACAAAUUUUCUUAUGCAGUAUGCGGUUAUCCGAUAGGCUCUUGUUGGGCCUCAAAUAUUUCUGUAAACUUUUCGUGGGGCUUUUAGUGUAGCCCGUGUAUGAUCGGGUUACGUUUAAUACAAUACUACACUUGAGAAAAAAAAAAAGAAGUAAAUUAUGUUAUUUUUGUAGAAUAUAUUUUUUUUUCUC